UACGAAGGGGGCGAGCGUUGUUCGGAAUUACUGGGCGUAAAGGGCGCGUAGGCGGCCCCCUUUUGUCGCGUGUGAAAGCCCCGGGCUCAACCCUGGGAGGUGCGCGCGAAACGGGGGGGCUUGAGUUCGGGAGAGGAGCGUGGAAUUCCCAGUCGUAGAGGUGAAAGUUCGUAGAUAUUGGGAAGAACACCGGUGGGCGAAGGCGG
rnacentral:rRNA from 1 species